rnacentral:lncRNA from 1 species
CACAGCUGCCAGCUCAGGGGUCAUGCCCAGGCAGCCUGGUCCUGGCCGAGAUUCCUACCUCACUCAGCAGCCCUGCACAGAGCUGGCACCGCCAAGCUGGGUCACCUUGGGAGAAGACACAUGAAGUAGCUGCUAUCACCAUCCCCUUUUUAAACAUGAGGAAAUACGGCUUAGAGAAGUUAAGCAACCUGCCCAAGACCAGAGAGCAACCAAGUGGCCGUGCUGGGAUGCAGACUCAGAUCUGCCUCAUUCUCAAUCCCCUGCUUUUAACCAUCAUGACAAGCUGCUUGAAAGGCCUGUAGCUUGACUUACUCCCACCUGCUAGAGUGGGAAAGACCAUUUCAAACCGAAAGCUAUUUUUGGGAGGAGGAAGCUGGCCACCAGGGAUCUGGGGUCAGCCUGCCCCAGAAGCCAUAUAGACAUGUAUCUGGUCAUCUGCAGGGUAGCCUGCUCUUUCUCAAGUUUGUGGUCACCAGGCUCCAGCUUUGCCAGGCUCUGGGUCCACAUCCUACUUGGGAGAAUAGAGGACCCCAGAGAUGCUAACAAAAUAUUACUGAAGUUGACAGGAGUCACUGGGACCAAACUCCCAAAGGAGCACAGAAGAGUGCCACGCAGAUAAGAGAGACUUUAAGAGAGGAUCUCAUUUGAUCUCUUUCCG